ACCCGCUGAACUUAAGCAUAUCAAUAAGCGGAGGAAAAGAAACCAACAGGGAUUGCCCUAGUAACGGCGAGUGAAGCGGCAACAGCUCAAAUUUGAAAUCUGGCGUCUUUGGCGUCCGAGUCGUAAUUUGCAGAGGGCGCUUUGGCAUUGGCAGCGGUCCAAGUUCCUUGGAACAGGACGUCACAGAGGGUGAGAAUCCCGUACGUGGUCGCUAGCCUUUACCGUGUAAAGCCCCUUCGACGAGUCGAGCUGUUUGGGAAUGCAGCUCUAAAUGGGAGGUAAAUUUCUUCUAAAGCUAAAUACUGGCCAGAGACCGAUAGCGCACAAGUAGAGUGAUCGAAAGAUGAAAAGCACUUUGGAAAGAGAGUUAAAAAGCACGUGAAAUUGUUGAAAGGGAAGCGCUUGCAGCCAGACUUGCCUGUAGUUGCUCAUCCGGGUUUUUACCCGGUGCACUCUUCUAUAGGCAGGCCAGCAUCAGUUUGGGCGGUUGGAUAAAGGUCUCUGUCAUGUACCUCUCUUCGGGGAGAACUUAUAGGGGAGACGACAUGCAACCAGCCCGGACUGAGGUCCGCGCAUCUGCUAGGAUGCUGGCGUAAUGGCUGU
rnacentral:rRNA from 1 species